UACGAAGGGUGCAAACGUUGCUCGGAAUUAUUGGGCGUAAAGCGCACGUAGGCGGCUUUGCAAGUCGGAUGUGAAAUCCUCGGCUUAACCAAGGAAGUGCAUCCGAAACUGCAGAGCUUGAGUACUUAAGAGGAUCGCGGAAUUCCGGUGUAGAGUGAAAUUCGUAGAUAUCGGAGGAACACCAGUGGCGAAGGCGGCGA
rnacentral:rRNA from 1 species